rnacentral:rRNA from 1 species
AGUGAACGCUGGCGGUAGGCCUAACACAUGCAAGUCGAACGGCAGCACAGUAAGAGCUUGCUCUUACGGGUGGCGAGUAGCGGACGGGUGAGGAAUACAUCGGAAUCUACUUUUUCGUGGGGGAUAACGUAGGGAAACUUACGCUAAUACCGCAUACGACCUACGGGUGAAAGCAGGGGAUCUUCGGACCUUGCGCGAUUGAAUGAGCCGAUGUCGGAUUAGCUAGUUGGCGGGGUAAAGGCCCACCAAGGCGACGAUCCGUAGCUGGUCUGAGAGGAUGAUCAGCCACACUGGAACUGAGACACGGUCCAGACUCCUAAGGGAGGAAGCAGUGGGGAAUAUUGGACAAUGGGCGCAAGCCUGAUCCAGCCAUACCGCGUGGGUGAAGACGGCCUUCGGGUUGUAAAGCCCUUUUGUUGGGAAAGAAAAGCAGCAGGUUAAUACCCCGCUGUUCUGACGGUACCCAAAGAAUAAGCACCGGCUAACUUCGUG